GAUUCUGAAGGUGUUUUUGAUGCUUUCUUAACGCCGUUAACCUCGAUGCACUUUUUCGCUCGAAACAAAACGGCAAGAAAAUCAUGCGCGCCCCACGGCCUUACACUUGGAUUGGCCGCGAAAAGGAUAUAUAGAAACAAGAGUGAUGUACUGUCGGGUGCGAUCAUACCAGCACUAAUGCACCGGAUCCCAUCAGAACUCCGCAGUUAAGCGUGCUUGGGCGAGAGUAGUACUAGGAUGGGUGACCUCCCGGGAAGUCCUCGUGUUGCACCCCUUUUUUUUUUUAAUUUUUUUUUGCCUAAAACGAGUCUAAACUGAAAACCCAUAACUUUUGAACCGUGAGGAACUACGUCGCCCAUAGCACCAUUUCGGAAGAGCCCCAGAAACCAUAAUGGGCGGUGAAUAGGGGGCGCAAUUUUUCGGGCUCAAAUUCAGCCGUUUUGACCCUCAAACGGGCUGCGGAAAGUUAUGGCACGUAAAAAAGAUCGAAAGCGGAUUCUCAAGGUGUUUUUGAUGCUUUCUUAACGCCGUUAACCUCGAUGCACUUUUUUUCGCUCGAAACAAAACGGCAAGAAAAUCAUGCGCGCCCCACGGCCUUACACUUGGAUUGGCCGCGAAAAGGAUAUAUAGAAACGAGAGUGAUGUACUGACGGGUGCGAUCAUACCAGCACUAAUGCACCGGAUCCCAUCAGAACUCCGCAGUCAAGCGUGCUUGGGCGAGAGUAGUACUAGGAUGGGUGACCUCCCGGGAAGUCCUCGUGUUGCACCCCUUUUUAUUUUUUUAAUUUUUUUUUAGCCUAAAACGAGUCUAAACUUGAAAACCUCAUAACUUUUGAACCGUGAGGAACUACGUCGCCCAUAGCACCAUUUCGGAGAGCCCCAGAAACCAUAAUGGGCGGUGAAUAGGGGGCGCAAUUUUUCGGGCUCAAAUUCAGCCGUUUUGACCCUCAAACGGGCUGCGGAAAGUUAUGGCACGUAAAAAAGAUCGAAAGCGGAUUCUCAAGUGUUUUUGAUGCUUUCUUAACGCCGUUAACCUCGAUGCACUUUUUCGCUCGAAACAAAACGGCAAGAAAAUCAUGCGCGCCCCACGGCCUUACACUUGGAUUGGCGCGAAAAGGAUAUAUAGAAACGAGAGUGAUGUACUGACGGGUGCGAUCAUACCAGCACUAAUGCACCGGAUCCCAUCAGAACUCCGCAGUUAAGCGUGCUUGGGCGAGAGUAGUACUAGGAUGGGUGACCUCCCGGGAAGUCCUCGUGUGUUGCACCCCUUUUUAUUUUUAAUUUUUUUUAGCCUAAAACGAGUCUAAACUUGAAAACCUCAUAACUUUUGAACCGUGAGGAACUACGUCGCCCAUAGCACCAUUUCGGAAAGCCCCAGAAACCAUAAUGGGCGGUGAAUAGGGGGCGCAAUUUUUCGGGCUCAAAUUCAGCCGUUUUGACCCUCAAACGGGCUGCGGAAAGUUAUGGCACGUAAAAAAGAUCGAAAGCGGAUUCUCAAGGUGUUUUUGAUGCUUUCUUAACGCCGUUAACCUCGAUGCACUUUUUCGCUCGAAACAAAACGGCAAGAAAAUCAUGCGCGCCCACGGCCUUACACUUGGAUUGGCCGCGAAAAGGAUAUAUAGAAAGAAACGAGUGAUGUACUGACGGGUGCGAUCAUACCAGCACUAAUGCACCGGAUCCCAUCAGAACUCCGCAGUUAAGCGUGCUUGGGCGAGAGUAGUACUAGGAUGGGUGACCUCCCGGGAAGUCCUCGUGUUGCACCCCUUUUUAUUUUUUAAUUUUUUUUUAGCCUAAACGAGUCUAAACUUGAAAACCUCAUAACUUUUGAACCGUGAGGAACUACGUCGCCCAUAGCACCAUUUCGGAAAGCCCCAGAAACCAUAAUGGGCGGGUGAAUAGGGGGCGCAAUUUUUCGGGCUCAAAUUCAGCCGUUUUGACCCUCAAACGGGCUGCGGAAAGUUAUGGCACGUAAAAAAGAUCGAAAGCGGAUUCUCAAGGUGUUUUGAUGCUUUCUUAACGCCGUUAACCUCGAUGCACUUUUUCGCUCGAAACAAACGGCAAGAAAAUCAUGCGCGCCCCACGGCCUUACACUUGGAUUGGCCGCGAAAAGGAUAUAUAGAAACGAGAGUGAUGUACUGACGGGUGCGAUCAUACCAGCACUAAUGCACCGGAUCCAUCAGAACUCCGCAGUUAAGCGUGCUUGGGCGAGAGUAGUACUAGGAUGGGUGACCUCCCGGGAAGUCCUCGUGUUGCACCCCUUUUUAUUUUUUAAUUUUUUUUUAGCCUAAAACGAGUCUAAACUUGAAAACCCCAUAACUUUUGAACCGUGAGGAACUACGUCGCCCAUAGCACCAUUUCGGAAAGCCCCAGAAACCAUAAUGGGCGGUGAAUAGGGGGCGCAAUUUUUCGGGCUCAAAUUCAGCCGUUUUGACCCUCAAACGGGCUGCGGAAAGUUAUGGCAGAAAAAAAAAGACCGAAAGCGGAUUUUCAAGGUGUUUUUGAUGCUUUCUUAACGCCGUUAACCUCGAUGCACUUUUUCGCUCGAAACAAAACGGCAAGAAAAUCAUGCGCGCCCCACGGCCUUACACUUGGAUUGGCCGCGAAAAGGAUAUAUAGAAACGAGAGUGAUGUACUGUCGGGUGCGAUCAUACCAGCACUAAUGCACCGGAUCCCAUCAGAACUCCGCAGUUAAGCGUGCUUGGGCGAGAGUAGUACUAGGAUGGGUGACCUCCCGGGAAGUCCUCGUGUUGCACCCCUUUUUAUUUUUUAAUUUUUUUAGCCUAAAACGAGUCUAAACUUGAAAACCUCAUAACUUUUGAACCGUGAGGAACUACGUCGCCCAUAGCACCAUUUCGGAAAGCCCCAGAAACCAUAAUGGGCGGUGAAUAGGGGGCGCAAUUUUCGGGCUCAAAUUCAGCCGUUUUGACCCUCAAACGGGCUGCGGAAAGUUAUGGCACGUAAAAAAGAUCGAAAGCGGAUUCUCAAGGUGUUUUUAAUGCUUUCUUAACGCCGUUAACCUCGAUGCACUUUUUCGCUCGAAACAAAACGGCAAGAAAUCAUGCGCGCCCCACGGCCUUACACUUGGAUUGGCCGCGAAAAGGAUAUAUAGAAACGAGAGUGAUGUACUGACGGGUGCGAUCAUACCAGCACUAAUGCACCGGAUCCCAUCAGAACUCCGCAGUUAAGCGUGCUUGGGCGAGAGUAGUAGUACUAGGAUGGGUGACCUCCCGGGAAGUCCUCGUGUUGCACCCCUUUUAUUUUUUAAUUUUUUUUUGCCUAAAACGAGUCUAAACUUGAAAAACCUCAUAACUUUUGAACCGUGAGGAACUACGUCGCCCAUAGCACCAUUUCGGAAAGCCCCAGAAACCAUAAUGGGCGGUGAGGUGAAUAGGGGGCGCAAUUUUUCGGGCUCAAAUUCAGCCGUUUGACCCUCAAACGGGCUGCGGGCGGAAAGUUAUGGCACGUAAAAAAGAUCGAAAGCGGAUUCUCAAGGUGUUUUUGAUGCUUUCUAACGCCGUUAACCUCGAUGCACUUUUUCGCUCGAAACAAAACGGCAAGAAAAUCAUGCGGCCCCACGGCCUUACACUUGGAUUGGCCGCGAAAAGGAUAUAUAGAAACGAGAGUGAUGUACUGACGGGUGCGAUCAUACCAGCACUAAUGCACGGAUCCCAUCAGAACUCCGCAGUUAAGCGUGCUUGGGCGAGAGUAGUACUAGGAUGGGGACCUCCCGGGAAGUCCUCGUGUUGCACCCCUUUUUAUUUUUUAAUUUUUUUUUAGCCUAAAACGAGUCUAAACUUGAAAACCUCAUAACUUUUGAACCGUGAGGAACUACGUCGCCCAUAGCACCAUUUCGGAAAGCCCCAGAAACCAUAAUGGCGGGUGAUGAAGGGGCGCAAUUUUCGGGCUCAAAUUCAGCCGUUUUGACCCUCAAACGGGCUGCGGAAAGUUAUGGCACGUAAAAAAGAUCGAAAGCGGAUUCUCAAGGUGUUUUUGAUGCUUUCUUAACGCCGUUAACCUCGAUGCACUUUUUCGCUCGAAACAAAACGGCAAGAAAAUCAUGCGCGCCCCCACGGCCUUACACUUGGAUUGGCCGCGCGAAAAGGAUAUAUAGAAACGAGAGUGAUGUACUGUCGGGUGCGAUCAUACCAGCACUAAUGCACCGGAUCCCAUCAGAACUCCGCAGUUAAGCGUGCUUGGGCGAGAGUAGUACUAGGAUGGGUGACCUCCCGGGAAGUCCUCGUGUUGCACCCCUUUUUAUUUUUUAAUUUUUUUUAGCCUAAAACGAGUAUAA
rnacentral:lncRNA from 1 species